rnacentral:rRNA from 1 species
GCUGGCGGCGUGCCUAACACAUGCAAGUCGGAUGCGAGAGGCCCUUUCGGGGGCUGGGUAGCAUGGCAGACGGGUGAGGAGCGCGUACCUGACCUGACUCUGGCAGGGGGAUAGUCCUGCGAAAGCGGGGGAAAUACCGCGUACGCUUGGUUUCCUGCGGGGAGCGAAGGAGAGUUGGCCUCUGCAUAGCAAGCUGACGGCCGGAGAGGGGGGUGCGUCCUAUUAGCUAGUUGGUGGGGUAACGGCCUACCAAGGCGGCGAUGGGUAGCUGGUCUGAGAGGAUGAUCAGCCACACUGGGACUGAGACACGGCCCAGACUCCUACGGGAGGCAGCAGUGGGGAAUUUUGCGCAAUGGGGGGCACCCUGACGCAGCAACGCCGUGUGAGUGACGACGCCUUUCGGGGUGGAAAGCUCUGUCAGCAGGGACGAAGCGCGGGGGCGGAAGACGCUCUUGGCGGUGACGGUACCUGUGGAGGAAGCCCCGGCUAACUCCGUG